rnacentral:rRNA from 1 species
UACGAAGGGGGCUAGCGUUGCUCGGAAUUACUGGGCGUAAAGGGCGCGUAGGCGGACAGUUUAGUCAGAGGUGAAAGCCCAGGGCUCAACCCUGGAAUUGCCUUUGAUACUGACUGUCUUGAGUACGGGAGAGGUGUGUGGAACUCCGAGUGUAGAGGUGAAAUUCGUAGAUAUUCGGAAGAACACCAGUGGCGAAGGCGACACACUGGCCCGUUACUGGCGCUGAGGCGCGAAAGCGUGGGGAGCAAACAGG